GAUGAAGAACGCAGCGAAAUGCGAUACUUGGUGUGAAUUGCAGAAUCCCGUGAACCAUCGAGUCUUUGAACGCAAGUUGCGCCCGAAGCCAUUAGGCCGAGGGCACGCCUGCCUGGGCGUCACACGUCGUUGCCCCCCCAUCUACUCCUUCGGGAUUGCAGGGGGCGGAUGAUGGCCUCCCGUGCGCCUCGUCGCGCGGUUGGCAUAAAUGCCAAGUCCUCGGCGACGCACGCCACGACAAUCGGUGGUUGCGAAACCUCGGUUGCCCGUCGUGUGCGGUCGUCGCGCAUCGAGGGCUCGAAAAAAUUGCCGGGCUCCGGCUCGGCUUUCAACGCGACCCCAGGUCAGGCGGGGUUACCCGCUGAAUUUAAGCAUAUCAAUAAGCGGAGGA
rnacentral:misc_RNA from 1 species